rnacentral:miRNA from 1 species
CACGGCCACUCGCACGAGGAGC